rnacentral:tRNA from 1 species
UGGUAAAAGGGACAUCUAACCCCCUAAGCAGAUUUACAGCCUGCCACCUCUCUCGGCCAUUUUACC